CCGAGAGGCGUAGUCGAUGGACAACCGGUUGAUAUUCCGGUACCCGCUUUGAAACGCCCAAUAUUGAAUCCUCUGAUGCUAAGUCCGUGAAGCCGCCCCUGAUCUCUUCGGAGUGAGGGGGAGUGGUGGAGCCGACGACCCGAGGUGGUAGUAGGUAAGCGAUGGGGUGACGCAGGAAGGUAGUCCAGCCCGGGCGGUGGUUGUCCCGGGGUAAGGGUGUAGGCCGUGUGGUAGGCAAAUCCGUCACACAUCAAGGCUGAGACCUGAUGCCGAGCCGAUUGUGGUGAAGUGGAUGAUCCUAUGCUGUCGAGAAAAGCCUCUAGCGAGUUUCAUGGCGGCCCGUACCCUAAACCGACUCAGG
rnacentral:rRNA from 1 species